ACAAAAUUUGGAUCGUCAAUCUACCGAGCAAUAUCACCCGCUCGGUGGAAGAUCUUACCUUUCUACC
rnacentral:pre_miRNA from 1 species